UGGGGAAUCUUGGACAAUGGGCGCAAGCCUGAUCCAGCCAUGCCGCGUGGAUGAUGAAGGCCUUAGGGUUGUAAAAUCCUUUCGUUGGGGACGAUAAUGACGGUACCCAAAGAAGAAGCUCCGGCUAACUUCGUGCCAGCAGCCGCGGUAAUACGAAGGGAGCUAGCGUUGUUCGGAAUCACUGGGCGUAAAGCGCACGUAGGUGGGCAGUUAAGUCAGGGGUGAAAGCCCGAGGCUCAACCUCGGAAUUGCCUCUGAUACUGGCUGUCUAGAGUUCGAGAGAGGUGAGUGGAAUUCCUAGUGUAGAGGUGAAAUUCGUAGAUAUUAGGAAGAACACCGGUGGCGAAGGCGGCUCACUGGCUCGAUACUGACACUGAGGUGCGAAAGCGUGGGGAGCAAACAGGAUUAAAUACCCCAGUAGUCCCUGAGCGGGCUGGCAAGGCGCAU
rnacentral:rRNA from 1 species